rnacentral:lncRNA from 1 species
AAAAAAAAAAAAAACAAAUAGAUCAAAUUUACAACUAAAUCCAAAAGAUCUUGUGACUACAAGUAUAAGAGAAAUAAAGAUAAAUAUGUUGGAGAAGUUUGAUGGAAGAAGAUUAAAAUUUUGAGGGUUUUUACAAGAAGUAAAGCUCUAUUUUAGAUUGCAUCUUUUGCAACAUUUUAAUAGAUUUAUUCAAGUCACUUAUGAAUCUGAUUUGAAUAAAUCCAUUAGAAAAUGAUUCAUGAUAUUAUUUCUAUCUAAAAGUGUUCUUUUUUGAUUUGCACCUUUGAUAGAAAAUGAUUCAUGAUUACUUUAUGAUUUGAAUUCAUUUAUAGAAUCAUUUAUAGUUAUAUUUGAAAAAAGUUAUAAAAAAGAAUAACAUAGAUCAAGCUCAUAUCUUUAUAACAAGGAUCAUAUUUAGCCAUUAUAUAUGUUUUUGAAUUCCAGAAUCUUACUUGCAAUAUGGAUUGGAAAAGUCUUUAUCAAUAAAUUUUGAUAUAGGUUGAAAGAUAAUGCCAAAGAUUUAUUAUUGACAAUACUAAGAAUAAACUCAAUAAAGUAAUUUAUUGCUUAAGUUAUUACAUAUGACAAUUAACUCUUUGAAAGAUGUCAAGAACAAAGAUUUGGUUAAAGAGGUAUAAGUCAAGUUAUUGUAGUACCUUCUAAGUUUUUUAAAGCUUAUUUAUCUAAGCCAAAGUCUAUGCAAAUUGACAAAAUACGUUUCAAACCUCUUACUAAGAAAGAAAAGACUCAAUGUUAUUAAGAAGAUUUGUAUCUAUAUUAUGAAGAAUCCAAGCAUAUUACUCAAAAUUUUCUAAAGAAGUAAAAUAAUCACAAAAUAAAGAGCAUGUUUGCCAAAAAAGAUAAUGUGUGAGAAAAAAAAUUCUUCAACUAUAAUAGGGAUAGUGCAACUAAAAUGUUAUGCAAUACCUAAUAAAGAUUUUAUUUUCUUCUUAAAUUCCUUAAUUUAUUUUAUAAUAGAAGUUUAUUUUCAAAAAAAAUCACAAAGUCUUUGUUUUGUUAGAUUCAAAAGCAUUAUCAUAUUUUAUGGAUGAAGAUUUUGUCAAAAAUAAAAAAUAUUUUUAGUUAAAAAAAUAAAAAUUAUGCAUAUAAAAAUAACAGAUAUUUGUUCAUUGUCUUUUAAAAAAAUUAUCUAUGAAAUUGUUCCUUUAGAUGUAGAAACUAAUGGUCAUAAUAAUUUAAUAAUAUUUAAUAUGAUUAAAUCUUUUUAUACUUUAGUUAUUUUAGGAUUAUUAUUGCUAAAAAAAUAUAAUAUUCAAAUAGAUUAGAUUUCUUAUAGUCUUGAUUUUUUUCAUAGCUUAACCCAAGAUUUUGUUAGUCAAGUAAAAAUCUAUAAAUCCAAUAUAAUUAAACUUUUAUUAGUAGGUGUAAAAAACUUCAUGUGUGUUGCAAAAAAAUUGUAAUCUUUUGUCACAUAUGCCAUAUCCAUUUCUGAUGGUAGAAAGACUAUAAGUGGCAUUUGAAGUUAGUGCCAAGAUUAUGAAGAUAUUUUUCAGAAAAAAAAAAUCAAGAUAUUCUUCUAGACCAUCAUCCAUAUGAUUUUUCAAUUGAUCUUUAAGAAAGAAUUCAACUAUCAUUUAGACCAAUCUAUAGCUUAUUGCAAAGUAAGUUAGUUGCAUUAAAAAAGUGCAUUAAUCAAAACUUGUCUAAGAACUUUAGACACUAUUCUAAAUGUCCGGCAAAUAAUAUACUAAUUUAUUUGUAAAGUAGAAAGGAAAAUUAUUGUAAAUGUUUGUUGACUAUUGAUGGUUCAAUAAGAUAACUGUUAAGAAUAGAUAUCCUUUAUCUUUGAUUUUAAAACUUCUUAAUCAGCUCAAUCAAGCAAAGAUCUGCACAAGAAUAGAUCUACGAGGAGCAUGUAAUUUGGUAUACAUCAAUAAAAAGAGAUGAAUAAAAGAUUACAUUUCAAAUCAAAUAUGGGCAUUUCAAAUAUAAUGUUAUGCCUUUUAGAUUUACAAAUGCACCAACUACUUUUAAUAUUUUAUUAAUGAUAUUUUUUGAGAGUUUUUUGACGAUUUUGUUAUCUCUUAAAUGACAUUUUAAUUUAUUCUAAGAAUAUUAAUGAGUAUGAACUUUACAUUUUUGUAGUACAUGAAGUUUAGCUUGAGAAAGCACUAAGCACUUGGCUAUGGAAGAUAAAAAGAAAAUUACAACAACAAGUUUUAAAAACUCUAAUAGAUUCUUGAAUAAAUCAUAAUUAAAGAUUAGCAAAUAUAAUCAAAUCUUAUACAAGAAAUACAAAGAAAUAAAAGAAUUCAUAAAGAUCCUUAAAAGAAAUCAUAAAGAAAUAACAUAGAAAUUCAAAAAAAUUACUAAAAUAGAAAUCUUAAUAAAAUAUUAAAAUAAAAACCUUAAUUAAAUCCUUGUUAAAAUCUAAUCAAACCUUAGUGAAAUCCUUGUCAAAUCCUAGUCAAAUCCUAAAUAAGCCCUAAUCAAAUCUUAAACAAAUUUUAGUCAAAUUCUAAUCAAAUUCUAAUUGAAUCCUAAUCAAAUCCUAAUCAAAUCCUAGAUCUUAAAUAAUCUCUAUUCAAAUCUUAGAUAAAUCCUAAUCAAAUCUUAAUUAAAUCCUAGUCAAAUUUUAAAGAAAUUCUAAUCAAAUCCUAAAUAAAUUCUAGAAAAAUUCUAAUCAAAUUCUAUUCAAAUCUUAAACAAAUCCUAACCAAAUCCUAAUCAAAUCUUAAAUAAAUCCUAGUCAAAUCCUAGACAAAUUCUAAUCAAAUUCUAGUCAAAUCUUAAACAAAUCCUAACCAAAUCCUAAUCAAAUCCUAAAUAAAUCUUAGUCAAAUCCUAGAUAAAUCCUAGACAAAUCCUAAACAAAGCUUAAUCAAAUUCUAAAAAAAUCUAAAUCAAAUCCUAAAUAAAACCUAAUCAAAUCCUAAAAAAUCCUAAUCAAAUCUUAAAAAAAUCUUAGAAAAAUCCUAGCCAAUCUUAAAUCAAAUCAAAAUCUUAAUCCUAACCUUAAAUCAAAUUCUAAUCAAAUCCUAAUUAAUUCCAAAUAAUUCCUAUAAUAGAUUUAAACCUCAAUAACUAAUGAAUGAACUUUUGAAUUUAACUCAAAAUUUGCACGCUUCUUAAAAAUUAAGUUGAAAAAAAAAAAUUGAAGAAGAUCGAAAUCAUGAAAAAGAAGAUCAAUCCUAAAAUCUACUCAAGUGUUAGCCACCCUCCUACUCAAAUUUGAAUGAUGAAAUUUUAGUGCCAAAAUCUCCCUUUCAAAUUAUUUUAUUAUUUUUAAAUUUUAAAUAUAUGUAGCACAUCAAGCCUACUACCCUCACAAUUAAAUUUUAUUCCAAUUCAACUAAUAAAAUUCUAAAGAUCUUAAAAACACUAACUACCUCUCAAAGUUUAAUUUCCAAGAUCUCAACCUAUUUGAAAUUCAAUAAUUGUCAAUUCAACCAUUCGAUCAAGAUCAAACUUACAAUAUAUACUAUGCACAUAUGUAUUCACAAAUUUUUAAAAUUUCUCUUGUAGAUCUAUUGCCAAACUUACAAAAUUCUCCAAAAAGUGUCACCCAUUUUAUUUCACAAAUCUAGAGUCAUCCAAAACAAAUCCUAAUUUUGCAAAGCUCUUACAAAGUUUAUACACACUCAAAUCACUGAAAAUUAAUGCUCAAAGAAAUCCUAUCAAGUUUGCUUUCAAAUCCUAUUCUCCGAUCUCCAAAAGAAUCCUUGAAUUGCCAUUGGAACUUGGUUUUGUGCUAUGGGGUCUGAUUUCGACCCAGGUUCAUAACUAGUCCUCUUUGGGUAUCAACUCUUGAAUUUCCAAGGUAAUUUUUGCUACAAAUUACUCUUAUCUUCUUUCUAAAGGUGAUUAUAUUGCUUAUUUUUCUAAUCUACCUUAUUUUGCUCUAUUUGUGGUCCUAUACAAUGAAUAGAAGCCUAUUUUGUAAAAAAAGUAGUAUUAGCACCUUUAAUUUUUUUACUUCUUGACUAUUAUCUAUUUUUCUAAGAUAAUUUUUUAUAAUAUUUUUGAAAUAAGAUCUUCAAAAAUAUGAUAUUUUCUUCAUCUUUUCACUUACUAGCCAUUUUAUAUUAUGACAAUGUUUGUCAUGUAUUACAAAAAUUAAGAAAUAUAAGACUAUAUGUUGUCACGAUGUAAUACAAUUAAUAGAUAAAAGAGUGAAAAAAAUAUUAUAUUUUAGAAGAUCUUAUUUCAAAAUAUUAUAAAAAAUUAUCUUAAAAAUAUAGAUAUUAAUCAAAGGGUAGUAAACUAAGAGUGCAAUUACUGUAUUUUUUCAAAGUAGACUUCUAUUUAUUUUUUGAGACCAUAAAUAAGGCAAAACAAGGUAGAUUAGAAAAAAAAAUAGAAUAUAGAUAUAUGUAGGAGGGAAUUAGGAGUUUGUUUUAUUUCAAGAAGGCAAAAAUUAAUAUCCAAAGAAGACCAAUUAUCAACUUAGGUCAAAAUCAGAUCCUAAGGCAAAAAACCAUACAUUUACAGCAAUCCAAAGGUAUUUUGAUAAAUCAAAGAAUGAGAUUUGAGAAAAGAAUUCUUAAGAUUUCUUAAAGCAUUAGUUUUAAGAAAUUUUAGUUUGUAAUGACUUUAUAAGAGCUUUAUAAAGUCAGAGUUGUUUUGGAUGACUUUAAGUUUUAUGAAAUAAAACAAGGUUUAUAAUUUGGGCAUUUUUGUAAGUUUUGUAACAGAUUUAUAAGUGAAAUUUUGAAAGAAUGUGAAUAUGAUUGUGCUAAAUAUAUGUUACGAAUUUGAGAUUAAUUGGAAAAUUGAAUUGGAUGUUAUUGAAGUUGAAGUGGGUUAAAAUCUUAUAAAUUAGAUUUUUAUAUCCAGUAAGAUUAUCUAAGAUUUACAAUAAUCUACCAAUUGGAUUGAAGUUAUUUAUAUUGGAGCUAAUAGUUGAUUCGAAUUUUAAUAUAUAUGCAAAAUUUGAGAGCAAGUUAACAAUUCAAUUAAGAAUUAUUUCUGUUUGAAGAUCAACCUUAGGAUCAAAGAUAGAGAUUGGCCGACACCCAAGUGAAUUAUGAUGUUUUUCUCUCAUUUUGUAAUUUCAAUUCUCUUCAAAUUUGUUGUACAUAUUUUUAAUUUUUUUUUUUGAAGAUGUGUAAAAUUUUAAGUAAAAUCAAUGAUUUAAUCAAUAGAUAUUGAGGUUCUAAAAAUAUCCUAGGAUUGGUUUGAGUGGGUUAGGUUUUAGUUAGAAUUUGUUUAGAAAAUAAUUAGAAUUUGGUUUAGAAUUUUAAAAUAGAUAAAGAUUUAAUUAAGAUUUGAUUUAGGAUUUAAAAUCUAAUUAAAAUUGAUUUAGGAUUUAAGAUUUCUUUAGGAUUUUAAAAAAAAUUCUUUAGGAUUCUUGUGGAUUUUUUUUGGAUUUCUUUAAGAUUUCUUUAAAGAUUAUUUUCUUUUUUCUUUUUCUUUUUUUGAAUUUCUUUAGAUUUUUUAAAAGAUUUUAUAAAUAUUUCUUUAUAUUUCUUUUAUAUUUCUUUAUUUUGGAUUCUUUAUGAAUUUCUUUAAAAGCUAUUUUUUUUUUUUUUUUUUUUUUUUUUUUUUUUUUUAAAGAUUUCAUUAGAUUUUUUAGGAUUUUUUUUAUAUUUUUAUUAUAAUUUAUUUAAAAAUUUAAUUAGGCUUGAUCAAUGUUUGAUUAUAUUUAUUAAGCUUUAAUUAUAAUUUAUGUGUGAUUCUAUUGGAGUUGUUAGGAUUUAUUGCUAAUUUCUUUUAUCUUCUAUAAUCAAGUGCAUGGUGCAUUCUCAAGUAAGUCUUCACAUAAUACAAUAAUGCCAAGAUGGAAAAGUACAUGUUUUACACUAAUUAAGUUGACUUCUUUGGAUACAUCAUUUCAAAUGAUGGCCCUAAGAUAGAUUUUAAAAAAGACUAAACUAUCAUAGAUUGAAAGGUUCCUAAAAAAAUAAGAAAUGUGCAAUAUUUUUUGAGAUUGUCAAUUACUAUUGCAUCUUCAUCAAGAAUUUUUUUUAAGUUGCUACUCUACUUAUAUGUCUAAAAUAGAAAGACAAAUCGUAAUAGAGAAAAGAAGAUGAAAUAUCUUUAAAAGCCUUAAAGAUAUUAUUUAUUUUUAUACAAAUCUUAUAUUACAUCAAUUUUUUCAUGGCAUUUUUUAUAAAAAUACACACAUUGAACUUUGCUAUAGGUGCAAUGUUAUCACAAAUGAAAAAAAUGAUAAGUUCUAUCUAAUAGCUUUUUAUUUUAGGAAAUUUUUAGCAAUUGAAAUCAACUAUAAGAUAUACAAAAAAGAACUUCUUCAAAUUGUAGAUUCAUUUCAAAAAUGACAUUAUUAUCUAGAAGCUGCUCCUAGUUUAAUUACUGUAUAUACGGAUCACAAGAACCUCAAAUAUUUUAUAGCAAUACAUAUUUUAAAUAAUCACCAAGCCUAUUUAAGUAUGUCUUUAUCAAGAUUUGUUUUCAAGAUUAUUUGUCAAUUCAAAAAAUAAUAAGACUUAUUAGGACCUCUUUAUAGACAUUUUUAUCUUGCACCAAAAGAAAGAAAUGCAAAUUUUGAUCAAUAAAGAAUGAUUCUCUUGAAGCCAAAGUAUCUUAAUUUUUAAGCAAUAAAAUCAAUAUUGAUUUUUGAUUCAAUCUUUUUCAAGCAAGUUCUAUUCACUAUGUUCUUUGAUCAUCUUAUUCAUAAUAUUAAAAAUUAUUUUUUUAAGUUUCAUGAUACUUUCAAGUUGAAAUUUAAAAAUAAUCUAUACUAUUUCAAGGAACAAUUAUAUAUUCUUGAAGACAAAGAAUGAUUACAUAUUCUUCAAGUUCAUCACAACUUCUCAAUAACUAAUAAUUUUGAAUAUAAUACGACUUUAAAAUUAAUAUCUAAAGAUUAUUGGUGAAUUCAAAUGUAGAAGUAAUUAAAGACUUUGUAUAAUCAUGUGACAUUUAUUUAAGAUCAAAAACUCCUCACUAUCAAUAUUAUGGACUACUUCACCCAUUUCUUAUUCUAAAACAACUAUGGUCUUUUAUUUUUAUGGAUUUUAUUACAAAUCUUUCAAUCUCAAAUUCUUGUGAUUUUAUAUUUGUGAUAAUAGAUUAUUAUACAAAGAUGGAACAUUUUGUACCAUGUAUAAAAUCUAUCAUAAGUGAAGAAAUAACUACAUAUUUUUUUUUAUAAUAUCUAUUAUUAUGAUGGAUUACUGAAGGAUAUUAUAUUAGAUAUGGAGAUUCAAUUUGUAUCAAGAUUUUUGGGGAAUAUUUUUUAAUAAUCUAAAGAUGAAUAUAGUAUUAUCGUUAGCUUUUCAUUCUCAAAUCAAUACACAAAUAAAGUAUGUAAAUCAAAUUUUGAAGAAGUAUUUGACAUAUACUAUCAACUAUCAAUAAGAUAAUUGGAUAAUUUUUUUGCCAUUGGAAAAGUUUAUUUAUAAUAACAUGAUACAUUAUUUUAUUUAAAAGCACAUUUUUUUUUAUUAAUUAUGAUUAUCAUCAAAAAUUUGAUGCUUUUGACUUUACAAAAGUUGAUAAUCUUAUUACAAAAGAUUUAACAAAUCAUUUAUAUGAGCUACAUAUAAUAAUGAAGUCACAAUUUUAAAAAGAUUAAGAACAAUAUAAGACUAAUACAGAUACCUAUUACAAGAAAUAAUCUCAAUUCCAUGUUGGUGAUAAAGUAUGGUUACUUUGUCAUAAUAUCAAGACUAAGUGUCCUUAUGACAAAUUAGAUUAUUGUAAGCCUAGAUCAUUUCUUAUUUGUGAACAAAUCAAUCCAAUUGCUUAUUGAUUAUAUCUUUUGGAGUCUAUGAAGAUCCAUCUUAUAUUCCACAUAUUUGUUUUGAACCAUAUAAUACAUUAAAUAUGUCAAAAAAAAAGACAAAUACCAUCUCUUCCCAUAGAAGUAGAUAAUAAUGAAGAAUUUGAGGUGGAAGAAGUCUUAGACUUAGACUUAAGCCACCACCAAAAUAGGUGAAAAUAUCUCAUUCAUUUUUACAAAUAUGAUAUUAUUAAAUGUACAUAGUAGCUAACAAAGAAUCUUAGAAAAAAAAUAAAGAACGUUGUUAUUUUCAUCAAAGACAUCUAUCAAAAGUAAGAUAAAAAAUAGCAAAUUUUUAUUGUAAAAGAAACAAAAUCUAGUAAAAAUAACACUCUAGCUUCUAUCUUUGUUUGUAAUUUCUAUAUAUUUGUGGCACUAUAAAGAUGGAAAACCAACAACCAAUAGAUUUAACUCAAGAGUUAUUGUUUUUUGACUUAUUGAACAACAUAUUGUAGUUGUCAGAGCCUUCAAGUUAACAUAAUAGAAAUGAAGAUUCUCAAGAACAAUAUGUUUUUCUUUGAAUUGAUAAUAAGAUACAAUACAUUUGGUAUCAUGAUCUUGGAAGAGAUUCUUGACGUUUAAUGAAUUUUUUAGAAAUAGAAAUGAUUCUUGAUGGUGUUACAAAUAUUUUAUUUGAGGAAAAUUAUGAAGACUUCAAUAAUACUCAAAUAAAAAAUUAGUCUUUUUGUCUUAUAAUGAGAUACUAUUAAUAGCUAAAAGAGCCUAUCAACUAUCUUUGAAGGAAAUAAAGAUCAAAAUAUAUAACAAAUAUGAUUUAUUGUAUCUUAAAUUCCAUCAAUAUAUGAUCACUGCUCUUCUUAGAACUUAUUUUUAGAAGAAGGAAAAUAUCAUGGAUAUACAUAUUAACUCCAAUAAUAAUUUAAAUAAUAUAAUUAAAUAGAAAUAAGUAAAAAUAGAUUAAUUUAAUAAUAACUUAUGGAGAAGCAUCUUAGAAGCUUUAUAGAUGCAACUUUGACUUUUUAUAUAUUUGCAAUUGAUUGAUAGAUUAGAAACUUGGUCCAUAAGUUAUUCAUACAUUGCAUGUGUUAGCUACUUAUAAUAUAAGUUAAUUAUAUGGUAGACAUAUAGAAAACUUACCUUGCAAGUUAAAACAUGUGUCUCGCAAGUUGAACACAUAUUGAGGAUCUUAUAGAACAUGACCACGUAGCUCCUAAUUAAAUAGUAUAUAUAGAAGCAAUAAUAAAGCAUUCUUUAUUCUUAUCAAUACUAGUCUUUAAUCUUAUUUCAAGACUUCUUAGUUUUCUUAUCUUUGACAAUAGCCAUUCUAAUUAAAUAUUAUAUCAUCUUUGAAUAAUUAUCAAGUCAUCUCAUACAACACAAGAGUGUAUUGAUCUUUGAAUUCUUUGAAAUUCAUAUCCUUGAUAGUUUUAUAUGUAUAAGUACUUUAAUUAAUAGAAAAAAUAUAGUCAUUUUUAUAAAUUUAUAAUACUUGGUAUAAAACAACAUACAACAAUAAUAUAUGUUAGUUGUAGGAACAACGCAAAGGCUCAAUAGACUCUAUAAAAUUAUAAAAAAAUAAAUUAAGUAUAAUGGUAUCAAAAAAUCUAGUACAAUUAUGAUACAAAAUAUUUAGAUAUAACUACUACAGAGUCAUUUUUCAUCUUUUACACACACAUAGAAUCCAUGGUAUAUCUUACUUAUCUUCUUAUUAUGAAGUUUGUAAAAUUUAUCAAUCAGAUUACUAAGUCACAAGGAAUUUGUCUUAAUUUUCUCUACAUUAGGCAAUGAAGGUAUUAAAGUUGAUUCACUCCAAUAUUAUGAAACUACUUCUAUUCAAGUAAUUCACAAGAAUAAGAUAUGUGUUAAUGUUUAUAUAUGAUUAUUUAAAAAAAUUAUAAAUAUACUUUUUGGAAGCCAAAUCCAAAAACUUUUCAAAGUUUUAUUUUUUUAGAAAACUAAUUAAGAAUAAAAAAAAAAUGAAUAGAAUCUUUAAAUUUUGCAUUGAUAAGAGAGGUGAAUUCACCUCUAAAGUAUUUUUAGAUUAUUGCAUUUAACAUGGAAUUUUAUGACAAUUGUCUCAAGCCAAGACUCUACAACAAAAUGGAAUUUUUAAAUAUCAAAAUUAUUCUCUAGCCAAAAAGAUGUUCUACUUGAUGCAUGAUACUAAAGCUUUGAAAUUUAUGUAAUAUACAGCUACAAAAAAUGUAAAUUAUUUGGUUAAUACAAGUCCUACUUGUGUAAAUCUAGAAGCCAAAUUGGAAACUUGGUACGUCAAAUUAAUUCCAAAGGUUGAUCACUUGAGAACUUGAAGAUGUAUAGUAUAUUUUUAUAUUCCUAAAGAAAAAAGAAACUAACUUACAAGCAAGACUCUAAAAGUCAUAUUUAUAGCAUGUAGUAAAUUAUUUAAGGCAUAUAAGAUCUUUUUAUUUAUUUCAAAAAUAUUUGUGAGUUGUGAUAUUAUCUUCAAUGAAUAUAUUUUUAGAUUAGAAUGAUUUUGGACCUUGAAGACUUUUGGAACUACUCUCAACAAUUCACAUUUUUUGUUUCAUAAGAAGGCCUUUGUUUCAUCUAAAAUCCACAUUGGUUUAAUUCAUGUUUUUGCUGGUGGAACAAAAGAGAUUGGUAUAUAGCCAAAAGUAGAUAGAAUGAAAGAAAAAAAAUAAGAGUAAGACUAAAAAUGUUACAAUAGAGUCACCUCAAGACCGUCAACUAAUUAUUAAUGUACCAAGUGCUAUGUUGAAAUAUUUUCUUAGAAGCAUAUAAAGAACUUCAUUCAAGUCUAUAUCAAUGCAUAUCUUAGAACUAUUUUUAAUAGAAUCUAAAUCUAAUUAUGUUUUUAAAAUUUAAUAUCUAAGAAAAACUCAAGCUUCCAAUUCUUUAUUCAAAGACUAUUAUGUCAAUUAUAUUGAUGCAAUUGAUUCAUGAUCAAGCACAUAACAAGAAACUAUUUAAGAUUCUAAUUAGAUAUUAGCUAUAGAUAUUAAAAAAAGAUUCUUAUUUUAAGAUAUAAACCUAAAAAUAAUUAUUAUUACCUAUAAAUUAUACUCUUAUCUUUGUCAAAUAGAUUUAAAAACUAAAGACGAUGAUUAUAGUAAAAAACUAAAGAAUUCAAAAUAGCUGGUUAUUUGAAGAAACAAACAAAGAGAAGGCCUUCAUUAUCUUAUUACUUAUGUAUUAGUUGUAUAAUAGAAGACUAUUAAGAUAGUAUUUAUGCUUGUAGCUUUGAAAGACUAUAAGAUUUAUCAUCUUCAUGUAAAGACAACUUUUUCAAAUAUAAAUUUGAAUAAAAAUAUUUAUGUAAUAAUCUCAAUUAAAUUGAAGCUUUUGCUAGAUUACAACAAUAUGAUAUGAUAUCUAAUUUACAAUUGGUUGUUGUUCUAAAUUUAUUCUUCCUUCUCAAUAAGCAUACCUAAAUACAAAAAAAUACAUCUUACAUUACUUAAAAGGUAUAUUAAAUUACAGUAUUUUAUUUCUCAAAUACAACAUUCUAGAUUAUGAAAGAGAUAAUAAUAUUAAACAUUCAAUAAAGAAUAUUUCAUAUAAAAUUGGAAUAGCUACCAUUGGUGUCUCAAGCAAAAUAUAGUCCACUAUAUCAUCAUCUACUAUCAAGGUUGAAUAUUAAGUCACCUUUGAUAUUGCAAGCAAUGUGAAGUACUUGCAAAGCAUGGUACUAGAAUUUGGCAUAUCAACCAAUCAACCUACUAAGAUUUUCAAUAGCAAUUAGUCAAAUAUAAAAAUAAUUUAUAAUCUAAUUUUGUAUAAAAAUUCAAAGAACAUUAAUAUUUAUUAUCACUUUUUUCAUAAAUUACAAGCAUAAGAACACAUUAAUAUUCAAUAUAUUUCAAUACAUGAUCAAGUAGCAAAUAUCUUAACCAAACUUCAAAGGUUUUACAAACUAGGCAAAUUCACUAUAAGGAUAGAUACUAGAAUAGUAAAAAAGGUGGUGUUGGUGCUCAAAAUGGUUUCAACUUAUUACAAGGAUAGACAUUAGGGUAACAAGAAAGGGAGUGUUGGUGUUCAAAAUGGUCUCAAUUCACUACAAGAGUAGAUAUCAGGAUAGUAAGAAAGAAAGUGUUGGUGUUCAAAAUGGUUUCAACUUACAACAAGGAUAAAUACUAGGAUAGCAAGUAAGAGAGUGUUGGUAUUCAAAAUGGUCUCAACUUACUACAAGGAUAGAUACUAAAGAAGCAAGAAAGGGAGUAAGAAAUAGAGUAUUGAUUUUCAAAAUGGUCUCAACUCACUACAAGGGUAGACACUAGGAUAGCAAGAAAAAGAGUGUUGGUAUUCAAAAUGGUCUCAACUUACUACAAGGAUAGAUACUAAAAAAGCAAGAAAGAGAGUAAGAAAGGGAGUAUUGGUAUUCAAAAUGGUCUCAACUUACUACAAGACUAGACACUAGGGUAGCAAGAAAGGGAGUGUUGGUAUUCAAAAUGGUCUUAACUUAUUACAAAGGUAGAUAUUAGAGUAGUAAGAAAGAAAGUAAAAAAGAGAGUGUUAGUGUUCAAAAUGGUCUCAACUCACUUUAAGGCUACACACUAGGGUAGCAAGAAAGGAAAUGUUGGUAUUAAAAAUGGUUUCAACUUACUACAAGGAUAGACACUAGGAUAGCAAGAAAGGAAGUAAGAAAGGGAGUUUUGGUGUUUAAAAUGGUCUCAUGUCACUAUAAGGAUAGACACUAGGAUAACAAGAAAGAGAGUGUUGGUAUUCAAAAUGGUCUCAACUUACUACAAAGGUAGACACUAGAGUAGCAAGAAAGAGAAUAAGAAAGGAAAUAUUGGUGUUCAAAAUGGUCUCAACUCACUACAAGGAUAGAUACUAGGAUAGAAAAAAAGAAAGUGUUGGUAUUCAAAAUCGUCUCAACUUACUACAAGGAUAGAUACUAGAAUAGGAAGAAAGGGAGUAAAAAAUGAAGUAUUGGUAUUCAAAAUAAUUUCAUUUCAUUACAAGGAUAGAUACUAGGAUAGAAGGAAAGGGAAUGUUGGUAUUCAAAAUGGUCUCAACUUACUACAAUGAUAGAUACUAGAAUAGCAAGAAAGGGAGUGUUGGUAUUCAAAAUAGUCUCAACUUAGUAUAAGAGUAGAUACUAAGAUAGCCAAAAAGAAAAUAAGAAAGGGAGUUUUGGUAUUCAAAAUGGUCUCAAUUCACUACAACGAUAGACACUAGGAUAGCAAAAAAAAAAUGUUAGUGUUCAAAAUGGUCUCAACUCACUAUAAAGGUAGGUACUAGGGCAGCAUAAUCAGGAGUGUCAGUAUUCAAAAUGGUCUCAAUUUAUUACAAAGGUAGAGACUAAAGUGGCAAGAAAGAGAGUAAGAAAGUAAGUGUUGUUGUUUAAAAUGGUCUCAACUCAUUAGAAGGGUAGAGACUAGAGUGGCAAAAUUGGGAGUAUUGGUAUUCAAAAUGGUCUCAACUUACUACAAGAAUAAAUACUAGACUAGUAAGAAAGGGAGUAAGAAACAAAGUAUUGGUAUUCAAAAUGGUCUCAACUUACUAGAAGGAUAGAGACUAGGGUAGCAAGAAAGUGAGUGUUGAUAUUCAAAAUAGUCUCAACUUAUUACAAGAUUAGAUACUAGAGUAGCAAGAAAGGGAGUAAAAAAAAAAAAGUAUUGUUGUUGAAAAUGGUCUCAAUUCACUAGAAGGGUAGAUACUAGGAUAGCAAGAAAGGGAGUGUUGGUAUUCAAAACGGUCUCAACUUACUACAAGGAUAGAUACAAGAGUAGCAAGAAAGAGAAUAAGAAACCAAGUGUUGGUGUUCAAAAAGGUUUCAACUUACUAUAAGAAUAGAUACUAGGGUAGUAAGAACUGGAGUAUUGGUAUUCAAAAGGGCUCAACUUACUACAAGGAUAGACACUAGAGUAGCAAGAAAGGAAGUAAGAAAAUGAAUGUUGGUGUUCAAAAUGGCUAAAUUGACUAUAAGGAUAGACACUACGGUAGCUAGAACAGGAGUAUUGAUAUUCAAAAUGGUCUUAACUUACUACAAUGAUAGAGACUAGGGUAGCAAGAAAAGAAGUGUUGAUAUUCAAAAUGGUUUCAACUUACUACAAGAGUAGAUCCUAGGAUAGUAAGAAAGAGAGUAAGAAAGGAAGUGUUGGUGUUCAAAAUGGUCUCAACUCACUACAAGGAUAGACACUAGGAUAGCAAGAAAAGGAGUAUUAGAAUUCAAAAUGGUUUCAACUUAAUACAAGAAUAGACACUAGGAUAGCAAGAAAGGAAGUGUUGGAAUUCAAAAUGGUCUCAACUUACUACAAGGAUAGACACUAGAGUAGCAAGAAAGGGAGCAUUGGUAUUCAAAAGGGUCUCAACUUACUAGAAGAGGAGAUAUUAGGGUAGCAAGAAAGGGAAUAAGAAAAGGAGUGUUGGUGUUUGAAAUGGUCUUAACUCACUAUAAGGAUAGACAGUAAAAUAACAAGAAAGAGAAUAAGAAAGAGAGUAUUGGUAUUCAAAAUGGUCUCAAAUUACUACAAAGGUAGAUACUAGGGUAGUAAAAAAAAAGAGCAUUGAUGUUCAAAUUGGUCUCAUUUUACUACAAGGGUAGACACUAGAGUAAUAAGAAAGGAAGUAAGAAAGAAAGUGUUGGUGUUCAAAAUAGUCUCAACUGACUACAAGGAUAGACAUUUGGAUAGCAAGAAAGGAAGUGUUGAUAUUCAAAAUGGUCUCAAUUAACUACUAGAGUAGAGACUAGAGUAGCAAGAAAUGGAAUAAGAAAGGGAGUAUUGGUAGUCAAAAUGGUCUCAACUUACUACAAGGAUAGACUCUAGGAUAGCAAGUAAGGGAGUGUUGAUAUUCAAAAAUGGUCUCAACUUAUUACAAUAGUAGAAACUACAGUAGCAAGAAAGAGAAUAAGAAAAAGAGUGUUGGUAUUCAAAAUAGCUUAACUCACUACAAGGAUAGAUAUUAGGGUACCAAGAAAGGCAGCGUUGGUACUCAAAAUGGUCUCAACUUACUACAAGGGUAGACCCUAUGAUAGCAAGAAAGAGAGUAAGAAAAGAAGUAUUGGUGUUCAAAAUGGUCAAAACUCGCUACAAAGAUAGACACUAGGAUAGCAAAAAAAUGAGUGUUGGUAUUCAAAAUGGUCUCAACUUAGUACAAUUUAGAGACUAGAGUAGCAAGAAAUGGAGUAAGAAAGGCAGUGUUGGUGUUCAAAAUGGUUUCAACUCAUUGCAAGGAUAUUCACUAAGGUAGCAAGAAAAGCAGUGUUGGUAUUCAAAAUGGUCUCAAUUCACUACAAGGGUAGACACUAGAGUAGAAAGAAAGGGAGUAUUGGUAUUCAAAAUGGUCUCAACUCACUACAAGGAUAGACACUAGGAUAGCAAGAAAGGAAGUGUUGGUGUUCAAAAUGGUCUCAACUCACUAUAAGGGUAGACACUAGGCUAGCAAAAUCGAGAGUGUUGGUAUUCAAAAUGGUCUCAUUUUACUACAAGGAUAGACACUAGAGUAGCAAGAAAGGGAGUAAGAAAGGGAGUAAGAAAGGGAGUGUUGGUAUUCAAAAUGGUCUCAACUCACUACAAGGGUAGACAUUAGGAUAGUAAAAUAGGAAAUGUUGAUAUUCAAAAUGGUCUCAACUCACUAGAAGCAAAGGUAGACACUAGGGUAGGAAGAAAGGGAAUGUUGGUGUUCAAAAUUGUCUCUCUCAAUGUAUGAGAGACUUCAACUAAUUAACUUCUUUGUUCAUCAGUAUGUCCAAUUUGAAUCCAUGAAGUCUCUAUACGUUGAUAUUUAGGUCUACAAUCUCAGUAUUGCAAGGCACCGCUUUUGCUCAACCUUCAGCUCCUCAGACUAUAUAGUUUGGCCUGUGAUAUGUUAUGAUCACCAAUUAGAAACUACAAAAGCAACAUCCAAAGUCCACAGCAACAUUGUGCCACUGCACAUUCUCCAUGUGCCACCUCCAUUGCUCCUUCAAUUCCUUUGAAACUGGCACAGUGAUAUGGCCUCUCCCAUUUUUUCGAUCUCUGCCUGCUCUUUUCAUGAACAAACACACACGCAUAUAUACAUAAAAAUAAAAGUAUAUGUUUGUGUAGAAGUAUAUGUAUAUAUAUACACACACACACGCAUAUAUACAUAAAAAUAAAAGUAUAUGUUUGUGUAGAAGUAUAUGUAUAUAUAUACACACACACACACACGUGUGUACAUGUGCCGACCCCGUUGUCGUCACAGGAUGCACCCAGAGGAUGCAGCCACAAAACCAGAGGGAUGAGGGGCUGAGGAAGAGGAGGAACAUAACACGGAAACACGGAGAUGCGGCACUGCUGCUGCCUCUGCUGCGGGAAAGAGAUUCCAUCUCAGCCUUUCAGAAAUGCUGUCCACGCUUCCGUUGCAGAAUGUGAGCACAUAUUCGUCCUCGCAGUUAUCUCAUCUUCUUUGACCCGCUGCUCGCCGUGCUUAUCUUGCAGGCAGGGGAGGCAGGGUAUGGGGAGGGGGCCUGCACCGACCUCCCUCUCAGGUUUCAGUGAUGCUAGUUCGUCUCCGUGAGCUUUGCAAGUGAGAGGUAGACUGAAGAGAAGGUGGUAAGAUCAAACAACAUCGUGGAUUAUGCCUCCACGGUAUCAUAUCUACCUGGAUCUAUGAAGCGAAUCAGAACCUGCCUUGAGAACGUCAAGUUUGAAUCUGGCAACGCCUCGCCGCACCUCGGUUGUCAACGUGAGCCUUACUUCGUCGGUCAUCCAGCCUGGGGGGGAUAUUCUUCCACCAGAUCCCGUGCCUUCGUUUUCGUUUGUAAUCAUAAGAUUGGUGCUAGUGUCGAAUGUGUCGAUGUCUGUCGAUUUUGCAAGCUGCAGUUUCGAUCACAUCCCUCGGGCUCUGAGCCUGUUGACAGAAGGCAUAUUGUGGGGGUUUUUUUUUUUUUCUUUUUUUUUGUUUUUUGUUUUUGUUUUUGUGUGUGUGUGUGUGUGUUGGAGUUGUGGAGUGUGACCUUCCAGGUUGUGUCAUGGAAGAGGCGGUGGAGUGCGCAGUAUGGAGCGGAUGUGUAGGGUUCGGAGAGUGACACUGAGCGUCGCCAUUGCCGAAGGCUGUUACUAGGGAACUUUUUGGGCAACACCAACACAUCUCCCCACAUGUCAAAGGUAUCCCAAGGGUAAAUUUUGUCAGCAAUGUGGGUCAUUUCACAGUUCGAAAUCCACAUAAUGCAUCAAAAAAGAUACAUCAGUGGUCGAAGCCACGUGAUUGUGUCAAGUGGAAGGGAAGUUAGUUCAGAGUCCUUCCACUACUUUCCAUUUUAAGCUUCAACGCAUUGUGCUUUCUCCGAAACAGUCCGAGACAUGCUCUGCAGGUGGCUCAUUAGUUUUUACCUGACAGGCCCUUGAUCGUUAAACUUGAAGACCCAGAGCAACGAGCUUCCACAACCCCACUCUGGAUCACUGAAAACCGGCACCACAACCAUUACUCCUCUAGGAAAGCAACCACAUUGCAUUGUAUUUCAUCUUCACAAACCUCCUUCGACAUAAGUUUCAGAACGGUGAAUUGCUGCCACAAGAAGUAAUUAGAUAUAAAUCAUGUUCAAUGAACCAUCAUUGUCCAAAUCACCCACUUGGAAGAACAUGAAAUACUGUGACAAAUACUGAACGACAAUUGCUACCAUUCGCGACCCGAUUAACCUAGCAGAAGAAAGGUGGAAACCUGCAUGGCACAGCUUGGGUGGUCGUGAUUAUCUCCGUGUGUUGCACAGUGACCAUGUGUUUUUUUAAAAAGCUUCGAGAUUACAACGAGGGUGUCAGUGACUUGACAUAUGCGGCGCAGCCUCUAAAGACAACAUACUCACGGUCCAGUUUUUUGUCUCAAAAAAGGAGUACGUAGAAGAAGCAUUGUCUUUAAAAACAAAAAGACAUGCUUGCUGAGAUUCAGUUCCAGCAGCACAAGUGGUUGCACAGAAUACACAGCCUGAAGACUUGCCGACAGAAUGAUAAAUUUCUUGGCUUCAAUGAGGCAACCUGAAAUAAUAAUGCAACAGUAAUCUUUCAUGAAGAUGCUUUCAGAAGCUGCAGUAUUAGCAGGGUCGGGAGAGAAGCAAGAAAGAAACAAUGAAUCAACACUACAAAUCUGUGUUUUGCCCAACUUGUUGUCAUUCCGGUGCCCAUGGGCAACAUGCAAAAAGCAGGCUAGCUAGAACCAAAUCAGUAUAAAGCAAAAAAUAAAUAAAUAAAUAAAAUCCAUUGUAUGAGUUGGGUACCUAUUCCUUUGGAGCCAUUGGUUUUAUGCAAUACAAAGUUUCUAAGCUUUAAGAGUCUACUUUUGUAAAGAGGAAAUUUGAUGUUGUUUUAUUUUAUUUUUAAAUUUGCUCAAAACAAGCAUUAAAGAGUUUGUUUGGUUUUUGUUGGCCCAAUCCUAGCCUCAAUUGUUUUUCUAAGUUGAGCUAAUCAAAAACUUAUUAUGGAUUUGUUUUAGUUGAGGAAAAUUUGUGUGCUUUUUAUAUUUGGGCAUCAAAAUCCAAAAAAAAAAGGAAAUAAGCUUGAAAACAUAUAUAUAUAUAUAGAAGUUUUUUUUAAAAAAUAUCUUAGUAAAUGAUCAUAUUAGAUUAUAUUGUAUUAUAUUAUUAUUAAAUCUAUAUAAAAUCAAACUAUUAAUAUUUAGAGAUACUAAAUCAUUUAUAAUAGAAUAUAAUUUCAUGUAUACAUAAAGAUAAGUUCUAUUGGUAUUCUUCAUUAAAAAUCCUAUUUUAAAAUUUUCACAUUCUACACAAUAUUUAUUUAUAUUUUUAAUGUUUUUUUUUAUAAAUAUAAGACUUCAAAAAUGUACUUUAAAUAUUUUCUUAUUAAAUUUAUAGUAGUAAGAUAUUAAGUUCUUUGAUAGCAAUGUUACCAAAAAUUAGUAAUUUUUAUAUUUGGUUAUUUAAAAAUAUUUUAUACAUUUAUACUUAAUAAACAUCUCUAAUUUUAAAGUUUUAUAAUAAUUCAUAUAAUAUCUAAUUUUAAUAAUUUUAUUUAGUAUAUUUAAUUCCAGGUGUAUAUCCCUACUUAUAUUUUAAAAUUUUGAUAAAAGAUUAUUUUACAUUAAAAUCUAAAUGCAUUCAAUUAUAUUAUCACUUUACUAUUUAUUAUCCUUUUUUCUCUCUCUCCAUAAUCAUCUUUAGAAUAGAAAUCACAAGGUAGGACAUCCUUAAUAUACCAUCACUUAUUUUUAACUAAGAUUUCAGAAACUUUUAUACAAAUAAGACUUCUCUACAAGCUUUUUUAUAUAUAUAUAUAUAUAUAGUAAAUUUAAAGAUUAAAAUUUUUCUUUUUAUAUUUUAAUUUUUAUUAUGAUUAUGCAUAAUUUCUUUUCAAUCAAGCACCAUUUUUCAAAAUUUUAAAAUAAAUUAUAGUAUCCACUUUUAUAAGGCAGAAAAAGCUUAAUUAGUAAUACAGUAUUUAUGCAUAAAUAUUUUUAUUUAAGUAGUUCUAUAAUUUCUUACAUAUAAUAAUCUAAUUUUUAUCAACUUUUUAUAAUUUAUAAGAAAAACCACUUGAAGAUAUAGUCAUACUAAAGAUAUCUAUUUUUAGUAUUUUCAUCUUAGUUUUAAAUUUAAAUUUUUUACUCUAACUUAUUAUCUUUUAAAUUCUUUUAUAUUUUUCUUUAGAUUUUUAUUUCUCUAUUGUUAUAUUUACUAUAGUAGUAUCAGAUUACGCAUACUCAAUUAUAAUAAAUAAAAAUUGAUGUAGUUAUCUAUGAUUUUUUUCUUGAUAAAAAUACCUUUAUUUAGUCCUAUAUUCUUGGCUAUUAUAUAUAUAUAUAUAUAUAUAUAUAUAUAUACUUCUUUAGUACCAUAAUUUUUAUUUUAUUUUAUAAAUAUAGUCCAAAUAAUUUAGUCAAUGCUAAUGUUAGUUGUAUGUUACUUACAUGUUGGUCAUAUCAAACAACUUUAAAAUCCCAAUCUAAGUUAUGGUUUUUAGUAAGAAAUAUUGAAUUAAUAUUUAUAUAUUAAAUAAAAAAUAAUAUAUAAACUAACGUUAAAACCGUAUUUUAAAGUAUUAUUAUUAAGAUUAUUUUUUAAGUUAAUACUAUACUUGCUAGUUUUUUUACAAUAGUUAACCAUUACAAUAAUCUAGUUUUAUUUGUAAACCUUCGAAAACAUUGUGUUGAAGUCCAAAAACUUUUAUAUAAUAAUUUUAAAAGCACAAAUAAAAUUUUAAAAAUGUAUAUAAUUAUUGAUAACAAGCAACUCAGAUAAAGCUAUACUUACUAUAAGUGUCCUAUGACUUUUACACGUAAUUUUCUAUUUGAUAAUUAGUUUUUUAUGUAAAGAAAAACAAAACAAACUUAAACAUUUUACUUCAUUUGUCAUAAUUGAUUAGAGAUAUAAUUUAUUUAUUUUUUCAAAUAUUUGUUAUGACAUUUCAUUCUAAAGGUAUAAUUUUUCUUAUUUAUUCUUUCAUAUUUCGAAAGCUGAUUUAUGAAAUGAAAAUUAUUACAAGCAUAAACUUCUGUAUUUUAAACUUCUAAUUUUAGAACAUCUUGCAUCAUAAUUUAAACAUAAAUUUAUAGAAUUCAUUAUUUUUAAGACAUAAAUGUAAAUUUUUUGUAGUACUUUUAAAUUCUUCUUUUUAACUGAAAAUGUUAGGAACCAUUUGAAUUGUUUCUAAUUAGUAUAUAAAAACUAAAACUAUUAUAUAUAUAUAUAUAUAUAUAUAUAUAUAUAUAUAAAGUGUUAGCUACUAAAAAUAUAUAAAAUUUCAAAUUUUAUUUAUUUUUAAAGAUAUAUUACUUAUAAAAAAAUUAAUUGUAAAAUGCAUGUUUAAGUGAAGUUUUUAAGCCUUUAAGCUAUGAGCCAUUACAAAAUUUCUUCAUAGACAUCAACUAAUGCUUGGUUAAACGUCAUUUUUUUUGCUUAUCUGGUUUGGUUAUAAAUUCAAUAUUUCAAUUUCAAGUAUAUUUAUACAAUUAAAAAGAACCGAACUUAAAGAAGCUUAUAACAAAAAAAAACUCAUCUUUAGUUUUCAUGUCUUUAAAGAGAUUUAAGAUAAAAAAAUAAAAAAUAAAAAAUCUCUACUCUUUUUUUUCAUAUAAAUGCUUUAAUCAAAAAAAAAAGAAAAAAAAAAAAAGAAAAAGAAAAAAAAAAACAUUAAGUGUCUUUUAUGUACAAUAAUAUAAGUAUAUGUUUAGAAAAAAAAUAAAAAUUCUUUUGCUGAACUUUACAUAAUCCAAAAUUUAAUCCAAAAUUUAAUAAAAGUCACAUUUUAAAAGUUUAGUUACAAAUUUGUACUCUUUUCAUUUUAUUUUAGAAUAGGUGGAUAUGUGAACCAUUCUAUUAGAAAAUUCUAUUUAAAACAAUACCGGUUUUUAACUUUAUAAAUUUUUUAUAUUUAUUUGUAUUUUCUAUACAUAUAUAUAUAUAUCCAACUAACUUGUCGUUUUUGAUGUAACAAUAUCUAUAUUUAAUAUGUAAAAAAAUCUUUGUUUAUAUGGUUAUUGAUUUAUUAUUGAAUUCUAAAGAAGCAUCAAUAUUUUUAAUUUACUAGUAGUUAUAUAUGAUGUUUAAAAAAUAAUAAAUAAAUUAAAUUGUUGCAUCAACAAAAAAUAUAUUUUUUCUUUAAGUUACGACAAUCAAACCUUCAUAUAAUGUCGAAUAUGGUUUUUAAUGGCACGAUAAUUUAAAAAAAAAAAAAAAAAAAAAAAAAUCAAAUUACUGUAUGAAAAAUAAAUAAAAAAAUAAAAAUAAAAAUGAAUAGCUUAUUAUAUAUUCAAAAGAGAUUAUUAUUUAUUGUAAGAGCCUAUUGUGCAUAUUUCUAAAAGAUCUUAUAUUUUGAUCUUUUGAUUUUAUCUACGAUAUGAAAUCAGAAAAUUUAUUAAAAAUAAAAUUCUAUAUCAUAUUACAUCAACAAAUUAGCUUCAAUAAGAAAUUGCACUGCCAAAAAGAGCAACAAGUGAAUUGAUGGACAUUAAUAAUGUUUUAGUCCUUAUGUACAUCAAGCCCCUUUUCUUUUACCUUUGUAGCCUUUGUAUGCCAAAUUAGAAUGUCUUCAAGAAGUCUUAAAAUUUUCAAACUUGGUUUUUGUUUAAUUAUUUAAAGACCUAAACUCAAACACAAUUCUUAGAAUAAUUUAUUUAACAUGAAAUAGUCAAAGCUAUUGUUUGUUUUUUGAAUGGACCUAUCUAACAAUUGAGUAAUAUAUAUAUAUAUAUAUAUAUAUAUAUAUAUAUUAUUAAAAAAAUUAAAUAAUUCUUUAAUUAUUUUUGGAGAAGUGAAGAAAUAUAUUAACAAAGCACUUAUGGAACUUGUUGCUAAAAAAUAAUAUAAUAUCACAAUUGUACAAAAAAUUUCAACCUCAAGCAUUUUUUAGAAUUUUAGACGUAUAUAUAAAUAUUAUAAACUAAUAGACUAUUUUAAAUAAUUUUAAAAAAUUGUAUUAUUAUUUGAGAAUCUAUAGAGACCUCAACAUCUUAUGGAAUAUUUUAUAAGAUUUAAAAUCCUUCUACAAUCUUCUAGAAACUUUCUUAAUUUUGAAUAGCCAAUCUUAGACAUUCUAUAAAGUUUUAGAAGUGUCUAUAGAGUUUUCUUUAUAUAUCUAGGAUAUCCCAUAAUUCUUAGAAUUUUAUUUAGAAGUUUUUAAAGAACCUAGUUGUGAGAGUAUAAGUAAAGAGGCAAAAAUAAGGGAUACUUUAGUUGUAUCAAUAUAAGUAAUGAAGCAACUUAAGUGUUGUCUUGUUUCUAAUAAUGUUUAUAAGUCAUUUUUUUCAUUUUGUAUCUUAUUUUUAUUUAUUUAUUCCUUAUCUUUACACUUAUGAAAAUACUAUUUAUGAAGAACAUAUAUAUAUAUAUAUAUGUAUGUAUGUAUGUAUGUAUGUAUGUAGUAGUAUUCUCUAAUAAAUUUUUAUACUUAAUUUGAUUAUUUGACAUUUUAACCAUAUAUUUUUAGAUUAUUAUUUUAUGUUUUUAAAUGUAAUAAUGCUAAUUGAAUUACAAUUAAUUUUUUGACAUUAAUAAAUAUAUUUUUUUUUAUUUUUUAAAAAAUACACUAAAACUAUUUGUUUAUUUAUUUAUUUAUAUAUGGAGAGAGAGAAAGUAUCACGGACACAGAAAUACAAGCUCGAGAUCUAACAUGAAAUUCAAGAAGGUUGGUAAGAAGUAGAUUAAUCAGAUGAAUAUAAAUAGAGCUCCAAGAAUAUUUAGAACAACACCAAAGAGGUGAGCUAGAGCUCCAAGAAAUGUGUUGUCGAGACUGAAGAACUCUUCAGCCUCGAUUCUAAUAUAUACUCCUAUUUAGGAAGCUUCUCAAGCAACUUCUAUCAACUAGGAAGCUUCUAGAAGGUUCCAGAGACUUGCUUCUAGAAGGUUCUAGAAACUUAUCUCUAGAAGGUUCUAAAGACUAUGUCCCUAACAUCUUCUACCAACUAAGAAGCUUCUAGAAGGUUCCAGAGACUUGCUUCUAGAAGGUUCUAGAAACUUGUCUCUAGAAGGUUCUAAAAACUAUGUCCCUAACAUCACCCCCUCCUUUAGCUUCGAGGUCUCUGAGAAGCAAUGUUGUUGUUAAUCAAUACCAACGCAAGAAACUGAAGAUCUAUCGCAUAACAUUUGUUAUGAACUCCAACUGUUGUUCACGAGGCAAGUAGUUCAUCGACCCUUGAAGCCAACGAUAGUGGCCCACUCCUUCAACUUCUGACCAAGUAUGAACUUCCGUGUCCUCAUUCUGAAAUUGUCCUACAAAUAUGCUUUCUAGCUGACCAUCGUAAGCAGGCUCAAACUCAAAUACAAUCACCAGUGAUCGGUUACUCGGUAUCCUCCGUCGUCGUUGUGGUGUAGGCAGUUCUUCAUCUCAAGGUCGCCUUCGUGAGCUAGUCGGUUGAGAUAAUUUGACUGGCAUAGUAUCUAUCUCUUGGCUAUCCAUAUCAGAAGACCAAACUAUGGCUAUUGAAAAAAUUCUACUUGAUCUUGGAGAAAAUAACUACAUCAAUUGCGAAUUUUGGUAGUGCUCUCCCCCUUUCUUAUAUUCUUGGGUGAGCAAGCUUUAGAAGGAAGCUAUUAUCAAACCGGCUUAGGUUUAUGAGGAUGUUGUUGAUGAAACUCGUGUACCUUUUAUGACACAUUGGCAAGAUUUUCAGUUGGCUCCCACGUUUGCUCAUUAAUGUCGUAGCCACUCAAUUGAAAAAGAUAUUCCAACUUGCCCCACCUUUGCCAUGAAUCCAGCACCUUUUCAACCUCAUAUUCUUCAUGGUUCUCGAUAUCAAUACUAGGUAGUGGCCAUUGCACUCUUCCAAGAAAAGACGACUCUCGAUAAGGCUCCAACAGAGAAACAUGAAAGACUGGAUGUACCUUCAUAGAAGCCGGUAAUUCCAGACGGUACGCCACUGGAUUGAUUUCCUUCUAAAUGAUAAAUGGUCCCAAUCUUCGAUAGUCCAACUUAUCACAUAGUUGCUUGGUUUUGAUAUUCCGUCGAAAAAGCCAUGCUUUAUCUCUAAUUUAAAAAGUAAGUACUUGAUUUCGAAAUCUAUCUGCAGACGCCUUGUAGGAUUCUUGAGUAGAUUAUAAUUGAAGCUUCAACGCAUUUUGAAGCUCUGGUAGUUGUUUCGCAAAUCCUUCAGCUAUUGGAUUCUUAUUUGUUGACGGACUCAAUAAAUCAAGCUUCAAAUGAUACCCAUAGUUAGAAAAGAAUGGUGUGUAUUGAGUCGACGCAUAGAGGGUAUUGUUAUAUGCAAACUCGACUAGUGGUAGAUAUGUGGUCCAAUCGUCUUGCUGAUAGUUGAUGCUGUAUCGUAAGUAUUGUUCCAAGACUUGGUUCACCUGUUCUGUUUGGCCGUCAAUGUGAGGAUAAAAAGUCGAAGAAAGUUUGAUAUCCACCUUCAGUAUCUCAAAGAAAGAUCUCCAAAACUUUGAUACAAACUAGGUUCCUCGAUCUGAUAUGAUAUCAUCUGGUAGUCCAUGAUAUUGAUACACAUUAUCAAGAAAGAGCCUUACUGUGACUUCACUAGACGAUGUCUUCUUACAAGGAAUAAAGUGCGCCAUCUUUGUAAGCCGAUCUACCACGACAAAGAUGCUGUCAAAUGAAUUCGAUGAUGGCAGAUCCAUGAUGAAGUCCAUGGAAACUGAAGACCAUGGUCGACGCAGAAUCAGCAAUGGCUGUAUGAGUCCAUAAGGACGAUGCCAAGGAUUCUUGGAUCUUGAACAGAUGUCGCAGAAGAAGACAAAAUCUUUCACAUCCUUUCACAUUUGGGGCCACCAAAAAUCUCGAGAAAUAAGCUCCAAGGUCUUGUUGAAUCCAAAAUAUCCCGCAGCUAGAAAAUCGUGGCAAGAUUGAAGAACUCGGAGUCAUGCUGGUCCUUUUGGGAUAUACAACCCCUCCUCAAAGUAUAAAAGAUCUCCCUCCACCUUAAAUUUGUCGUCAUUGGCAUGUUGCUUGAUAUCAAUGGCUACUGAAUCUUCAAUGGUCACGGCACGUACCUGAUUCAAGAAGUCAGCAUCAAUUGGCACAAUAGUAGCGCAAAGCCAAAAUUGCUCUAGCUUCAAUAAUGCCAUACAUUGUUGAUCAAACGCUGCUUCUCCAGCCUUUGGUAUAAGAUACGAUCUCCUCAAUAAGGCAUCAGAUAGUCUUUACUGCUUUCCAAGUCGAUAAGUGAUAACAAAAUCAAACCUAAAUAGCGACAUAUUCCAUCGAGCUUGACGUCGAUUUAGAACUCGAGCCGACAUGAAAUAUUCCAAAUUCUUGUGAUCUGUGUAUACGGUCACUUGAUAUGCAGCUCCUUCAAGAAAAUGAUGUCAUUCUAGGAAAGAAUCCACUAUAGCAAGAAGUUCCUUAUCGUGGAUCUCAUAAUUGAUUUCAAUAGUAGAGAACUUUCGAGAAUAGAAUGCAAUCGGAUGGAGCUUCUUGUCUUCUCCCAUUUGUGAAAGUACAGGUCCCAAAGCAAAAUCCGAAGCAUCAGUUUCUAAAUAAAAGGCCUUUGUAAAGUCUGGAUGUACCAAGAUUGGAGCCGUAGUAAAUGCGAUCUUCAGGCCUUGAAAUGCCUUCUCUGCUAGAUGUCUCCAUUCCAGCUUAUCCUUGCAUGUCAAUCGAAUGAGAGGAGCAGCAACUUGAGAGUAAUUUUUGAUGCAUAUUCGAUAGAAGUUGGCAAAACCAAGAAAGCAUUGUACAUCUCUAACCAUCUUCAGAACCUCCCAGGACAUGAUUGCUUCCACCUUCUUGGGGUCCAUCUUCAAGCUUUUCGUAGUCGCAACGAACCCCAAAAACUCCAUCUCUAUUUAGUGAAAUAAACACUUCUUCAACUUGGCAUAUAAUCCUCGCUCACGUAAUUUCUCCAAGACCAAACGAACGUGCUUUUCAUGCUCUUCCUCAUUUUUGGAGAAUAUCAGAAUAUCAUCCAAAUAGAUGAUGACAAAAUCGUCAAGGUGCUCUCGAAAAAUAUCAUUCAUCAUAUGUUGAAAGACCACUAGAGUAUUGGUAAGACCAAAAGGCAUGACAUUAUACUCAAAAUGGCCAUACCUUGUACGGAACGCUGUCUUCCAUUCAUCUCCUUCCUUGAUUCAUACGAGGUUGUAAGCUCCCCUUAGAUCAAUUUUUGUAAAGAUCCUUGUACGUCCAAGUUGUUCUAAGAGACCAGAAAUCAAGGGUAACGGGUAACGAUUCUUCUUUGUUACCUUGUUGAGGCCUCGAUAGUCCACACACAUCCGUAAUGAGCCAUCUUUCUUCUUCACAAAUAAGAUGGAUACUCCACCUGACGGUUUUGAAUGACAGAUGAAGUUCUUGGCUAGAUUCUCGUCGAUGUACUUCCGCAACUCCGCCAACUCCAUCUGCGAUAGAUUGUAGAUUGGGCCAAAAGGCGGUUGUGCUCCUUCCUACAAGUCUAUGGCGCAAUCAUAUGGUCUGUGAUCCGGUAGCAUGUCAGCAUUCUUCUUUUGAAACACGUCUUUAAAAUCCUUAUAUUGCUCCGGUAUACUUACUGUCAAGAUCUUCUCCCCAGUAGUUGGAGCCGCAUAAAUGACAAACGGUGUGCCUUCUUUGGACGAUCUUAUAAACGCUAUUGCUCCAAUGAAUAAAGAUUUUUGUAUUCGGGGUUUUCUACUAGGCUUGCUCUUGGGUGGUUUUGUGGGAAAGGUCAUCUUGCGCAACUUCCAAUCUAUGGAUGGGUUAUGCUUUUCCAACCAAGAAAGACCAAGAAUAACAAGAUUUGAUGCGGUUCUAAUAAUAUUGAAAAUAAUAUGACUACUAUGGCCCUUAAACGUCACUUCUGUAGGUUCUGAUUCAUAGGUGACACUACUAGACAAUAAAGGUCACUCAUCUAUGACCUCAACGUGAAUAGGUUUGGAUUUUUGUACUAAAGGGAUCUUAUAAUGCUUCACAAAUUCUUCGUCUAAGAAACAAACAGAUGCUCCUGAAUCUAAUAAUGCUAAGGUUCUCAGUUUCUGAGGGCCAAUAAGCAAAGGGAUUGUAAAACAAAGGGCAGGUUGAGCGGAAAGAAAGGAAUCUGGUUGUUUUUGCAAUAUUUCACUGUCCAGCCACACGGUUCCUAUUGUGGCUAGGCAUCCUCGUUUUCUUGAACAAACGCACCCCUAGUCCUGACAAUACGUCGAUUUUGCUUCUUGAGGCAGUUUCCAACUUUGUGGCCUUCUUCACCGCAAUACAAGCAUAGACCUUCUUCCAUACGCCGCUUUUUUUCUUUUAGAGUAAGGGAUUUGACAUAUAUCACAUCAAUUUGCAUGUCUUCUAUCUCUGAAUGUGAAUUCACGCUGCUUGACGACAUAGUUGGGGCAUGGCGAACCGUAUGUUGUCUUGAACAUUGGUCUUGGCAACAUUGGAAUAGGUGGUUAUCGCACUUCACAGCUUGGCUAAUAGCUUCGUUGAGUAUUUGCGGAUCAGGAAGAGUUAACAUCAAAUCCUUCACAUCAUCCCUUAAAUCCCAAUAGAAUUGACUCAUCAACGCUUCUUUGUUCCAAUUGAUGUUGCAUGUUAAUUGCCUGAAGUCCAAUGCAUAGACUGAUGUAAAGCGCAUCCCUUGUCAUAGUGACUGGAUCUUUGUUGUAGCUCAUUGAACCUUGUCGUGUUCACCAAAUGCUUCCGCAAACGACUCCAAAAAGUUUUCAAAGUUGUUUAGUAUGGACGAUCGUUUCUCAAACAAAGGAGCAAACCAUGAUAGAGCUUGCCUUGUAAAUAAGGUUCCAACAAGCCCAACACAUGACUCCUCCAUUGGAUAGCGUUUGGGCUAUAAAACUGUUAUCAACCUGAUUUGGUUGACGAAUCCUCGAAACUUGGAACGCGUACCAUUGAACUUGUCCGAAAGGCUAACUCGGGGCUCCUUAUAUUGUAGAACCAGCGGUGCUUGUCAAACCUGAGGCAAAGUUGCUUCUCCAAGUGCAGAGGUUUGAGGCUCGUGCAACCUAGAUUGUGCCAUCCCAGAUGUUCCAUCAUUAUGAAGCCUUGCCACGACUCCUUCAAUCUCUGCAGUUCUUUGCGAUAACGUAGCGAGGGCAUUCAUGAUAGCAUCCAACUUGGACUCCAAACUUUUCGUCAUACUAAUAUCUUGGCCCCCAGCCAUUCUAAGAGAAAGACAGAAAUGACUCUACAAGAAGACAAUAUUGGUUUAGAGGAGGGUACUCCGCAACCUCUAAAAUGCCUUAAGAGCUUCAAAAAAAGGGGUAAUCCACUCUCUCCAAGAAGAAUAAAACUCCAAUAUUGUAACAAAAGAAAUAUCAAUUUAGAGGAGGGUAAUCCGCAACCUCUAAAAUGCUAGUACACUUCCAAGCAGAGGGAUAAUCCACACUCUAACGAGGAAGAAACUAGCUCUGAUAUCUGAGGUGAGUGAAGUCUCGAUAAACUAUCACAGACACAAAAAUACAAGCUCGAGAUCUAACAAGAAGUUCAAGAAGAACUCGCAAGAAGUAGAUUAAUGAGAUGAAUAUAAGAACAACACCAGAGAGGUGAGCUAGAGCUCCAAGAGAUGUGUUGUUGAGACUGAAGAACUCUUCAGCCUCGAUUCCAAUAUAUACUCCUAUUUAAGAAGCUUCUCAAGCAACUUCUACCAACUAGGAAGCUUCUAGAAGGUUCCAGAGACUUGCUUCUAGAAGGUUCUAGAAACUUGUCUCUAGAAGAUUCUAAGGACUAUGUCUCUAACAGAAAGAUACGUAUAAAUAUAAAUAAAUGUGUAUAUUCAUUGUACAAAAUUUAUUUUUUUGUAACAUAAUAAGAAGUCAAUAUGAAAAUAAUAAUAUUUGUGAUUUGGUAUAAUCUCAAACUACCUUAAGAUGGUUAAUUGAAUCCAAAGCUUGUAAAUUAGCAUUAUUAAGGUUAGAAAUCCAUAUUCUAGUCAUAAAAUUUCAAUCAUGUUUGAUGGAUCUUUCUACAAGGUUUAUUCUUGUGUCAAAAUUAUAUAUACAAUAUCAUAGUAAAAUAUUUUAAAGACAACUUGCAUCACUACUUUUAUCUUAAAAUUACAGGUUUAGUAAAAAGACUAAUCUAAUAUUUAAAUCAAUUAUUUAAAUCCAUUAUUUUCACACGUUUUCUGAACUCGUCUACAUUAUAAUAUUAGAGGGAACAUUGCACAAACAACACAAUUGUUUUGCAAUCUCUCUAUCUACAAAACAUAGUUGCCAUUCAUGCCUCUAAUCAUUCUGCACCUAAUUCACUAAUACUUUGUUUACAUCACAUUUCACAUUCAACUGUAAAGGCCUACUUGAUAAAAAAUUAUCUAGCUCUACUCUGUCCUAAAAUUGAAUUAUGAAUGAGGUUGAGUUCUAGAACACUAAGAGUUUCUUGCCCUGCAAAGUCGGGUUUUACUUUGAGUUCAGUAGUUGUAGGACAAGGAAAUACGUUGUAUAUGUGUUACUGGCAUUAUGUGUUAGAGGCUAGGUUGGCCACAAAAAAUGGUCGUAUAAUACACUGAAUUAAGAGUAACCUCAACCUAUUAUUCAACCUUCAGUAUUUGUGAGUUGAACUGCAAAUUGUAGAAUGUUAAGACCAGUAACUAAAGACGUGAAAAUAAUUUGUAUUUAAACGCAUUUUAGGGAACAGCAUGAUAUCCGUGACAAACGAGGCUACGAGACCCUCAGUUUCUUUUGUUGUUCUAACACCUGAUAAAAAGAAGAAACAAUCGAGAACACAACCCUUGAAAUCAGAUUUGAACAAGAAGGCUAAGAACUCUUGGUAAAGCUAAAGAAAGAUUUACUAUGAGACACUGUCAGCCAAAGCACCAAGCAUAUAAAGUGCGUCAAAACGAGCACUGUGGAGAUCAAUUCCUUGGAAACCACCAUUUAUGCAUGUCUGAAUGGUUGAAGGUGUAAAACACUGAAGUUAACAUAACUAUCUCGGAGCAUAAAAAGCCUUGACUCUCACUGUUUUAAAGUCAACAUGCAAUGUAAUUGAAAUGCAGCAGGCCCUCAAUAGUAGCGAGAACAUCACCACACAAAGCAUGUUAACCUCCAAAGUCCUUUGCUGCAAACUUGUCUUCUGGGUAGAACACGGCAACUACCAAGUUCUCAUCGAAUCUUCGCCCAUGGAGUGAUGUCUUCGCUUUCGUAGCUCCAGUUGUAUCAGAAUAAUCAAGAAAAACCUGGAACGUUUGAUCAAAUAUCAAAAGACCUCCCUUGAUCUCAUUCAUGUACGCAUAUUCAGAAUACACAGUUGAAAACUGGGCUCAAAAAAAGCAUCACAGUACAACUCAAAAGAUUGAGGUUUAGAGUACAAUUCACACCUUGCCGAGACCAGGAACAGUUUCACCAGCUCUAGGCCUUGGGAUGACAACAUUCAGUAGAUUUCCUGCAACCAAAUACAAGUCAAUACACGCUCCAAAAAUGUGAACUGUUGCAGUUAGAUCCGCAAAAGCAGUCUCAGAAGAUCACAUGAACUUGAUAAAAACUGGACCUAGUUUCUAUUCGAUCACUUCUCAGAUACAUACCAUACUUUCCGCACUCCAUCCUCAUAUCUUCCAGAAUUUCCUGGUAUUCUUCAUCAUCUUCCAGCUGAUUGGGUGUUACAACCUGAGCAUAGAACGUCCAAGCAGCUUCAAAGCAAUUAGCAUCAUUAAAAGCCACAAAAACAUUUCAGAAAUUAAUAAAGAAAGAUAAUAAUUUAAGACGAUAGGUUUCAUUGACUUCUUAAGGAGCUACGAAAACUUACUUCCGUCAAAGCAACGACUUUGGUAGGAACCUCUGCUGGAAGAUCAUUUGUCAUCCCAGUCAUCAUGGGAAACAUUGACAUACCACCUAAAGCCACACCCUGCGCGCCACUGGCUUGCAGUGCAUCUACAAGCAAGUGUUUCUGAACAUCAACAAGUACGACUCAUUAGACACAUUAACAGAUAGUACACUGGCUUCCAUGAAGUAUGAUACGAAAAGUAAAAUGCUUUAGUACGGUAGCCAUUUCUUAGUUAUUAACCGAAAGGUUUGACCACUGGAUUUCUAAAUGGCAAAGUAGGAAAACAAAUUAAGACGGAUGUAGUUAUCAAUUUGACGUAAUUCUUUAGUGUCAAAAAUGCUGUCUCGAGUAAAGACAAACCACCCGUGAACGUCUUUCUAUGUAAGAGCAUUUUCAAAGUUACCUGCAAAGCAAUUUGCUGUUGUGCAUGUAUCAACACAUUUGCUUGAUCGGGCUUCGGCUGACCACUACAACAAUACACAAGGUUAAACUUAAACCAAUGUUCAAAAACUUGGAAGUUCCUCCUCACACAUCAUUGGCUACCCAAACAAAAGCCUACAAACAUAAAUAUAUCCCUUGACUUUUGAAAGGACCCCUUAAACCUAUUUGUGGCUCAGCGGACGUUUGAGGUCCAGUCAUUUCUAUCAUUCACAUCUUGCGAAACGAAGAACAGAUGAACAAAUACGUGAACAAGAAAAGCAACAUUCCAUACCUGGCAGAUGCUCGACGUACGCUGAGAGUCUUAUCGCCCAUUUUCAAACCAUUAAGUGCCGCAAUAGCAACGUCUGUGGUAACAGACGGAUCCUGCAGGUAGAGUGGUUGAUCACCACACGCAAGUUAGCAACAAAGGCGUCCACGAUUUUUGGAAGUAUUGAAGUCUACUCCUGGUACAACUCUUAUGCUUAGAAUCAAAGACUUAACCAUAAUUACGACAUUUGAUGAUCACCAUUAAAUUCUACGACGUGAGGAAUUAUACAGGGAUAUCGAUAAUUGAUUCGAGAUAAAACGCAGGAAACUCAAGUGGAGAACCAUCAAAAUUAAAAUCUAAACCAUAUUCCAAAAACAUACCUGAUAAACACAGAAUCCAUAACCUUUGGAGUUCCCUGUAUCACGGUCUUUGACAAGAUCAAAGCCUCGCAGAGGUCUAUAAAAUACAAAAUCAAACAGAAAGAUCAGUUUAUUCCUAAUCUGCGACAAUCAGGAUGUAAAGACCAAGUUAGCACUGCUGCUCCACACAAUGCCCUAACGUAGCCUUAAUUUCCACAAAAUGUAAACAAACAAGUAAGUUAAUGACGGCCUUAUGUAGACAACCAAAAUGUCUUCUUACCCAAAGGACUCAAGCAACUCCUUGAUCUGAGGCUCUGUCAGAUAAUAAGGCAAACCUCCAACAAAGAUGCGAUCAGGUCCAUCAGCCCCCCCGGCAGCACUCCUGCAUGAUUUCGAACACAAAUUAGCAAAACAAUUUACAAUUAAGGUAUGUGUUUGGUGAAGGGUCCAAGCCUGGGUCGAGUAGUAUACGAAUACAUCAAAAAAUAAAUUCCAUAAAGGCAAAACACCCGAUCACACUGAUUUCUAAAGACCAGCCCAAUAUAUAUUUUGAGCCACUAACUAUUAAAAAUGUAAAUAAAACUUCUACCACACUGAAACACACCACGCUAUAAUGGAAAAUUUUAAACCGCAUCAAACAAAAAUCCGAUAAUGCUAGCUGACGAUUGAAUGUAUAAAAAACAUACCCAGGAGUUAGGCCAACUGCGGCAAGAUUGAGAUGUGGACUAGGUUGACUUGGACCUAGAGUCGCAGCCAUGGAAGGAUUGUAAUCACUUGGCCUUCUCACUCUAACUGAGACACCCUGUAAUACCAAAUCCAGCAGAAUAUCACUUUCUUUUUUCUUCUCAAUUUAAAAUAAGCAUGACUACAAAUCUGCGUGGCAAAUGUUCCGACAGUGAUAAUCAUGCGGUAGAACACUGGUGCAGAAUUCGAAAAUAAUCUGAAGGACGAUGCUAAGUGGAGAAAUAGAGCAGAAAUACCUCAAAAAUAAUGCCAUCCAGAGACAUUGCAUUGCUAGCUUCUUCGACAGUGCGCAUCUCGACAAAUGCAAACUUUUUUUCUUGAUUGAUAUACACGUUCACAACAGCAUCGCCUAAGGUAAUAAAAAAAUAACUUCGAAAGAUCAGUUGCCAAAUCAUCACACAUCGCAGUGAAACCUACGAGUAGUAACAAAAACAAGAUGGCAGCCACUACAAAGACAUCAUCUACUACAAUCACCACAGACUAAACAAUGAACAGAAAUAUAGUCCUGAUAACUUUAUUUCCUACAAGAAGAUGUUUGAAAUACCCUCCUUCGCCCGAAAAAAAUAAGAUGUGCAAAGAACACUGAACCUGGCCCAGCAGUAUUUCCUCCAACAGCAGCCAUCACCUGACUGAAAUAGGUUGCAAUAGUCUACCAGGACAAUUGAGAAAAAAAUAAAAAUCAGAAACGGUGACAAGGAAGAAAAGAUUGUUACGUAUAACAUUCUUCAUCUAGUACAAUAUUACGUAUGUGUUAGUAAAGGACAUAAGGUUCAUACAGCGAAAACGAUUCCGGUUAAUGGAAACAAAUGAACUCGUAAGGAGUUCAUGAUCAGCUUACGACGUAAUAGAAAACCAAAAGUGCACUCACUUGUUCAUUCGCCAUAGGUGGAAGACCGCCAACAUAUACUCGACGAGCAUGCCUAGUUGCCUGCUAAAAGAAACAUCCACAAUCCCAAUAUGACAUUAAUAAACCAUAAUAUCGAGCACUUUGGUUCUGACCCUUCAAGUUCAUACGGAGAGACAGUCAGGUAGUAGGAAUUUCGGAAAUGAAUUCCACAUUGAUUCAGCAGCUUGGUAUUGCUCCAGCUAGGAAACACUAAGAUCUUGCACACAUAGCGAAGUAAACGAACUUGCAUGAUGCAAUUGAACUUCGAUUUCACCACAGAAGAACACUAAUAAGGAUUCCUUUACUUGAGACAUUUGGUGACCCGAAUAGCAUUCAGCAAAAAGAAGCACAAUCACCUGUUGCGUCAUAGCUUGUGCUGGCAUUCCAGGAAGACCUCCAAACUGCUCGACCACCCAGAUAAUUAAUUAUUUCGGUAGCCAAGAGGACUCACCUCUGUCUAAUACAGAAAGGCAACUCAUCAUUACAAUAACUGACCAUCGCAUGUACAGUCAAAAACUUAGAGGAUGCAGACAGCGUUAGAAACACAUGCCUGUGCACCACCAAAGGGGAACAUUGAUGGAAAGACUCCAGGCAUUUGUGGAGGCAUUCCAGAAAUUUGACCUGAUAAAGUAGAAUCAGUGUGUCAGCUAACUAGACUUUGUGCUCUAACGUUGCAAGUCCAACACUAAAGAUAAAACUAACCUACCAAUGACUCCAAAUUUUGUAAAAGAGAUGAAAUCGGUGCCACUAUAUGAAAGAAUGUACAAACCUGGUACUGCAGCACCAGGGACAAUUGUGCCACCUGGAGGAGCCAUAUCAAAUCCGCUUGUUUUUCUGCAAUAAAACCAAGCCAGGAUAUUAACAUUGUAUGCCACUGAGUAAACAUCUGGAAGUGUACGGAUAUAUUCUCGUCAGAGCACCACCUUAUAAGAUUGCGCGAGGUUGAAUUAUGAAGAAACUCUAGUAUCGUACGGCUGAAGGUUAAACUCAGGUCAUUGUGUGUCACGUUUACCUUCUGCGGUCACGAGAAGGAGAUCUUGAAAGAGAGUUAGAACGAGACCGAUGCCUGUGUCUCCUAUCUCGAUCACCAUAGUCGCGACUUCUUCUGGAAUUAUUUCAUACAUACACAUCAGCUUCGACACGAAAGCCAUUCACCUCGAAAAGAAAAAGAAAAAAAUAUAGCCACAAACAAAUCUAGAGUGAACAAAGAAAUUCAGCAAAAAGUGAAGUGAUAAGUCCAAGCAUUUAUUAUAGUUACUAUCUUAAAAGAAGAGUCCAAAAUCAUCUGGCACCCCUGUUAAUCAUGUAAUGAGAUAGUAAUACAAUAAUCAUUGUAGUUUCCGAAAAGAAUUAGGAACCUACCUGUCUCGAUCAUGGCUACGAUGACGCUCUGACCAGUCUCGGUCUCCUUGGUCUCCUCUCUCUCCUCUGUCCCUCCUGUCUCUGUCACGAUCUCGGUCAUCUCGAUGGCGACGAUCUUUGUCCUUAUCCCGACUUAUUUCUCCAUCUCUGCCAGAUUCGCGAGAAUGAUGCUGCACCAAAGCAAAAGAAGACAAGUAUUCAAUCGAGUGAGCACAAGAAAAGCAAACUGAAACCAUCUUCAUCACAGUAUAGCGUUCCUGUUGUGGAGAUGAAUCAGUAAAUACAAUGUUGAUCGGUUAAUCAGAACAUGACUAUCAAAAGCCACUGCAAAUCAUCAAAGUAAUAAAACAAACCUGUCCACCUUAACACGAUUGCCCAGUAUGAGAAAGGAUGGAAGGAGACCCACGCUUACAUUUCACUAAUCCUGACAGUCACCUCCAAUGACACGAUGUUAGGAAACCUAAUGGAGUAGAUCCAAGCCUUUUUUCCGCUAUUAAUAAAAAAACGUGAUGGAAAAUAUCUACAAAUACUGAGCUGGCAGCGAUAUAAAGCCAGAGUGCGACACAGGGUUAGCCCAGAUGUCCAACACAAGCCAAUAGAUAUUAAUAUCUUAGAACAAUUGCAUCAAUCGGAGCAAUGAGGUGAUGAAGACAUCUAUACAGAGAUCUCUGAAAAAGCCGCUGAUGUGAGGAUAAGGCAAAUCUCCAUUAACCUUUACUCAAUAACAGUGCUCUUUUUAGCCAUUCUUCCAAACUACGCACAUGAAGGAACAACAUAAGCACCAACGGUAUCAAUAAAAUAAAGAGAAAAUGGUGUGAAACUACAUCCUCAAGAGCAACAAGAUACUCUGCUAUGGCAUACGUAGAACACAAGUUGUUCUGGAUAUCGAACGAUUUUUUAGUUUUUUUUUUUUUUUUUUUUUUUCUCCUCCGUCUCCCUUUAAACUAUAGCGUGAUAAGCGAAAAUGUAUGCCUUAAACCGGGCUAAAAUGAACAAUUCAUAUAACAGACGAGUUCACGAUUCCAUAUUCCGGGGCUGAGAAGGAGGUUGAUUUGAGGAGAUAUUGGGUUUGAACCAAGAAUCUAAAUAAAAGCAGUCAUGUUAAAGCCAGGAUUAUUACAUAGCCAUAUCCACACUCGCCUCUGUCCACAUGUAUUUGUGCACAAAAGCAAAAUUCCUAGUAUUCACACCUCCGGAUUACUGCAGGACUAGAUAAUCAUCUGGCAAACAGACUGGGGUAGAACUAGAAAAUUCCUGUAAAACCUAAACCUUGGGUGGGCUGUUGUAACAGAAGAAGCUAAUUUCCCAAGGAAUCUUGACAACUCUCCUACAAUAUUAAAGACACUACCUCAGAAAGUUUGGGCGAUAUUAUGAAUGCUCAAUUACCAUAUUUGUAAUUUCCAAAUAUCGAAAAAUUCAACAGAUUACCACUUUCAUGUCGAAGAAAGAUAAGAAACAGAGGAUGAGGAAAGCACUGAUUGGGGUAGAGGGGGAAAGACGAGGUAUUCUCACCAAAAUACAAAAAAAACAAAAAAAAAACAAAUAAACAAAAAAACUAACAUACAAACAAUCAUACAAACAAACAAACGGCUCAAAGCCGACUUUCAAUUCCAAAUUCAGAAACGGCAGUCCCCUAAUCAACUGCAACUUACGUCGGAUGCAUUCUACACCCCGUGGACACACGAAAAAACACUCCCAACACAGCCCGAUAGCUAUCACGUAAACCACAAGACCCGGACCAACACAUCACAAUC